GCCAGCGCUGCCCCCGGCGCCCCCCGGCCCGGAGCCGCCCUCCAGGGGGGGAGCGCGUCCAGCAGCGGCUCUGCUGAGGCAGGAAACCUUUCCGAGAAGUGUCGCCUCCGCUGACGCCCUUAAAGCCGGUCCCUUUCGCCAGGAGGGAGAAGAGGCUGAGGCUGGGAGAGGAGCGAAUUGCAGGGGAAGGUAGAGAUUGUGGCAAACUUUCUAGCUGCUUCUGUGUGCUGCUGCCUCAGUGGUGGGAGUGUCUGGCCAUAAGGAACUGCAAAGCCCAAACCUGAGAGCCCUGAGGCUCCAGAAAAGACUUCCAUCUGCCUUUGGAGGAGGAACUGCCAGCAGUGCAAGCUGAGUAGAUGAUUCAGCUCUAGAGGAGAGAUUUGUCUUCAUGAUUUCCUUUGAAAGCACAAUGGACACAUUUUAAAGUUUUACAGAAAUCAGAAAUCAUCUAGGAACAAGAACAUUGGACUUUAAGGAAUAACAGAGUUCAGAGAGCCCAGAAAUUGGUCACUGAUAAACCUGACUUUGCCAUACAGCUUGGAAAUGAAUACCAUUGAGACAGCAAAGCUUGAAGAGCAUAUGGAGGGUCAAACGAAUGACACUUCCAAUGGCUACUCACGACCUACUCUCUCAGUCAGUGAAGAGAACAAAAAUGGCACUAACAAACCAAAGGGCUUGUCUAAUGGCUUGCGGAAAACAGCAAAGAAAUAUCCUGAUUACAUCCAGAUUUCUAUGCCUGCUGAGGCUAGGAACAAAUUUCCUCUGGAGUGGUGGAAAACAGGCAUUGCCUUUGUCUACGCUCUCUUCAACUUGAUUCUAACAACUGUCAUGAUCACUGUGGUCCAUGAGAGAGUACCUCCAAAGGAGCUAAGCCCUCCCUUGCCUGACAAAUUUUUUGAUUACAUUGAUCGUGUGAAAUGGGCUUUUUCUGUAUCAGAAAUAAAUGGAAUGAUACUGCUUGGAUUAUGGAUAUGCCAGUGGUUGUUUCUUAGAUACAAAUCAAUAGUGGGACGCAGGUUCUUUUUUAUAAUAGGAACUUUGUAUCUGUACCGCUGUAUUACUAUGUAUGUUACCACCUUACCUGUGCCUGGGAUGCAUUUUCAGUGUGCACCAAAGUUGAAUGGAGAUUCUCAGGCAAAGCUUCAGAGAAUCCUGCGACUGAUUUCUGGUGGUGGUCUAUCCAUAACUGGAUCACACAUCCUGUGUGGAGACUUCCUGUUUAGUGGACACACUGUAGUAUUAACGCUGGUCUACCUGUUCAUCAAAGAGUAUUCACCACGUCAUUUCUGGUGGUAUCACUUAAUCUGCUGGCUAAUGAGUGCUGCUGGUAUCAUUUGUAUCCUUGUUGCUCAUGAACACUAUACUGUAGACGUCAUCAUUGCUUAUUAUAUCACCACACGGCUCUUUUGGUGGUACCACUCCAUGGCUAAUGAAAAGACUUUAAAGGUUUCUUCACAGACGAAUUUUCUCUCUCGAGCAUGGUGGUAUCCAAUAUUUUAUUUCUUUGAGAAGAAUGUGCAAGGCUCUGUUCCUUGCAGCUUUUCCUGGCCAAUAUCUUGGCCCCCCAGCUGCUUCAAAUCUUCAUGCAAAAAGUAUUCACGGGUUCAGAAGACAGGAGAGGACAAUGAAAAAUCUACCUGAAGAAACAAAGGAAAGCAUCUGCUCUGUUGUUUUUUUUUUGUUUGUUUUCUUUUGUUUUGUUUUUUACCAAAACAUUAAUGCUGUAACCAAAGUUCUUAAGAGGACUCUACUGUAACUGAAGAAGUGGACCAAGCUUCUGUGCAAUUGAUUGAAGAAACAAUUAUAGACACAUUUUGCCAUUUCAGAUGUUUUCCUAUCAUCAGGCUGUACAGACCUAUUCUACUCCUCAGUGCUAAUGAAAUGCGCCACUGAUGGGAUUUCUUAUUAAAAAAAAUGGAGCAGGACUUUGCUUUACUAACGAGAUAGAGGUGCCAAAGACUACAGUAACACUUUCAUUACUAACUAUCACUCAUCCACAGAAGCACCCAAAAGUCUCAUCUUCAGAGUUCUGGAGUGCAUAAGGGCAAAAACAUGCUCAAUUGUAAAGGCACGAUAUUGGCGUAUCAAGGUAUAUAAAAAAAAUAACACAAUAGUGGGAAGUGGUUUGUUGCAUUAUUCUUGCUAAUGAAGGUAAGGCCUUUGCAUGACUGGUACAGCUGGAAGUGAGUCUGACUUUUUUUACACACUGGGGGUAUGAAUAUCUUAUGACCCUACAAUAUUGCUUACCACUAUUAACUCCCGUGUAUUCUACUAUAUACAAAUUUUUACAUUUUUAUUAGUAAUUUUAUAUUUAAACUGUUGUGCUACCUGAUGACUUUGCUAAUUAGAAAUAGCUGCUAACAUCAGAGCUCAAGGAGCCUAAAAUUUUAUUUUUAAUAAGGGACACAGUUUCAAAAAUCUUUAAUUACAGUUGGCCUUGUUUAAAUAGCUAUACAGUGCCUGUCAGUGUAUGUACAUGCAUAUGCACACAAAAGCACACACUAAAUGAAGUUAUUUACUGGGAAGAGUGAUCAUAGAGUUCUUCAUGCAGGUGAAAGUCCCACAGCUCUCACCUGCUUGAGGAAUGCAAGGCCAGAUCCAAAAUGAGGCUACAUUUAAAAUUUAAUUUUUAAUUUUAGUAGCUAUCUCUUGCUGAAGCUGUGUAGCAAGUUUGCUUGGGAGCCAUAGUUCUGCAUUGAAUUUUUGGGUUUUUUUACCUGUUGGCACAUGUUUCUGUGACUUUACUUUAAAAGGAAAAUGCACCAAACAAAAAAUUGCCAAGGUAAAUACCUACAACAGCAGCAUUUCUUCAAUUAUAACCAAAAACCCUUUCAUAUUAAAUUACACUGUUGUAGAACUCACAUGUAGGUUCCUUUUUUUCCCAGGGUUUCAGUCCAAUUAAAAUGUCUAGUUAAACAAGUUGUCUGAGAAAGUGGGAAAUUAGCAUGGGGUAAACAUGUAACAAAACCACAAAUUAACUGCUACCGGGUUCUUGUUGGUUUAUGUUUUGUAUUGUUGGGAAAGCAAAGUAGAAAAUUAGCAUACCAUGAUUAACCAUUUUUAUUCUGGAUUAAUUUCUGCAGUUAAUUCAAUAUUGUUUUCCAAUCUUCAGUGAAACCUGAUGCAAAAAUAAAACUGCACCAAGUGUUGAGGUGAUACUAAUAUAAAGGAAAUGCUGCUUAAUAUUAAGAAUGUCUUGAAUUGACUGACAAGUGUGAACACAAUUUAAAUUAUGACAACUUCCUUUUAAAAAGUUCAGUUAAAGUUAUAAAAUGAAAUAGUAUUAAAAUAUUAUUUUUUUUCAGCUAAGGGGAUCAUUGCUCUUGUUGUACAUGAGUAUUUUUGUGCAUUAUCAAAAUAAUACAAUAAACAAUGUUCCUUACAUCCUUGGUAAAAGUUAGCUAAGAAAGAAGUUCUGCUCAUGUUUGGUUUUGUUAUUUAAAAUGAACUUAGUAGACUCUGAUAACAUGCCCCUGAAGUUGUGUGUGUAUGGGUAUAACUGUGCUUCCAUUUGCUUGCUCCUAGCAGAUUUUGAACAGCUAAAAAGCCAGUAUCAAACACUUAGGAGUCCUUUUUCUCUGUCAUAAAUGAGUCUGUUCAAUGUCAGUCAGUAAAUUUCCCAAGAUACUUGUUAUAUCAGUACUACUUCAUAGAGCAUAAUUUUUUAAAGAUUAAAUCUAAGCUUUGUGAUAUCCUAAAUAUGGUCAUGUUAAGCCACUUGUAGUAAUACUGUCUUUUAGGAUUUAUGAACAGAUUUAAUUAUUGGUAACCAUGCGUUGAAAAUUAACAUGAUGAGAAGCCUUACAGGAGGAGCCUAAACAGUGGUUUUCAGCUGGUGGCUGAAAAAUAAAAACUUAGGUAGUCUAGAUAGCUAAUUGCAUAACCACCACUGUGUCUCAGUGGGAUUUCUGUAAUCUGUCUGCAAAGUAGAUUUCAUGCAAGAUGAGGUGUUUGGGGUUUUUUUAUGCUUAUUCUUAUUUCUGGAAGGAAAAAAAUGUGAGUGCAAUAGAACCAAGUAAAGACUCUGCUUUUGUGGGGCUGUGUGAGCUUUCCUUAUACUGCUGAAUUUGAUAGAAGCUUCUAUUGUAAUACAAAAGGAAAGUUUAAGUGGCAGCUCUAGCUUAAAAUACUUGAUUCCUGUUCUGGCUCAGCCUUUCCAUAAGUGCUUAAUAUUUCUUCAUUGUAUCCAAGCCCUCAGAAGGGUGUGUGUGGGGGGGUGGUGGUGGUGGUGUUUAAUUAGCAGAAAGCACCAGUUCUCUACUCUCUCAAUAGCUUUUAAUUGCUUUUGCAAACCUGGAUGGUAUAGUUGUAUUUGAAGAUUGUUUAGGCCUAUAUAUAAGGUGAUGAAAUGGGGUAAGUAGUCAUACAUGCUGAUUCUUACUGCUGUAGUAGUUUAUCCAAUACAAACCACAACUGCUACAUGAAAAUUACUAAUUUUAAGAUCUUGGUGAUUGUUGUAUAUUAAUACCACGAAGGUGAAAAUAUAGUUUCAUCCUAAGAGGAAAAAGGAUUGCAGUAGGUAAAAAGGAGAAACUUGAACUUAGGCCUACAAUUGAAUUAUUAGUACAUUAUUUGGACUGUAUAUGCCCAGUGUUUUGCAGUAUAUCACUACUUAUUUUUUCCUCGUUACAGUAUUUCUUACAGGUGUCACAUGAGCUGCACCUGUGCUGUGACUACAACACGCUCCUUCUCUGCUGAAGAGCAUUUACAUGUUGAACUUUUCAGACACUUCAAAAAAACCCAAACUCAACAACUAAACUCUACACUUGUACACCUGGCAUAUCAGUAUGACUUAGUUGCUGAUGGUGCCUCGGUGUUUAUGAAACAAGCUUUGUUAAAUGCCUCAUCUAAAUUUAAACCUGAAUGUAACAGGUUAACUUUCAGGAUUUAAAGAAAUGUGCUCCUAAGUGGUCAUGCUAUAGAUGUUUAAUUUUAAUGCCAGAAAUGAUUAACAUAUACUUGAAGCCGCUGUAAAUGGACACUUUUUUUCUGGUACGUGCUUAGCACUCCCAUGUGGUCAUAAGUGGUACUAUGUAUUAGUCAUCCUUCAUUGCAGUUUUCUUGGAAAGAUUGUUACAGGUGGGGGUAGUAGCAAAAAUAGCUGUGCUAAACGUUGCUGUGAACUCAGGUACUGCAUUUGCUUCCCUCCUUAAAGGGUGAGAGAGAAGGAAACUAAAAAAAAAUCAAGACUGUAUAUGCUAAGAUGCAUUACCCUCAUGUAAUAGAGAAAUAAAGUUCAGUAACAGAGACAGAACUUGGAAGUCUUCUAAGAUAUGAGAGAGCAAUCUCUUAAUUGGAUUAUUGCAAAUCCACUUACCAGUGUCUUAGAUCGGAAUCUGUUCAAGGUAUGGCUUUCUCCCAUCAUUAGUAUCUGGCUAGACAGUUUAUGGUAAGUUGUUUGGUACUGACCUGAAUUCUCUAGCUCAUUUCAGUAGGUGUGAAGUAUGAUUUACAGUUCUAGAGACAGAUCCAUAAACUGCAGUGCAAAGUGAAACCUUUCCAUUUACUUUAAAUGAACUUUUCCAUAGCUCUUUGUUUUGUUUGGUUUUUUUUUAACUUAUAAACCUUGAAUCUUAUAGAUUCAUGAGGUAAUUUUGAGAACAUGUCCAGUCUAUCAGAUGCACUGAAACCAUUUUUCUUUACUAGUAGACUUAAGUACUAGUUAACUAGCUCCAUUGUCAUCUUGAUAUUUUUACAAUACCCAUGUUUUGGACUUAGCCAGAACUCUUCUAUGAACACACAAAAUUAGAGUGAUACUGUAAGGUUGAACACUUCUGAAGUGUUCUAUACAAGGCACUGUAAAAUCAACAUCUUAAAUUCAGUUACUGAGGAAAGGGAUCUUAAAAAUAAAUACUUCUGUUGGGCUCCACUCAAAUGAGUGUUGCUGCUCAAGUGCACGUGAGAAAAAUAUCCUAGCAUGUCACUGAAGUAACUUUGCUUAUAAGUAAGCCUUUGUAUGCUACUUUAUUAUGCUUCCCAGUGUCCAAAAAGAAGUGCUGUGAAACAGGACAAAGGCUUUUGUUCUAGUAUUUACAAGAAAAAGGAAGACAGAUGAAAACACAGAAGUAGAUGGUGAUCAUAUGUUGCUUUUUACCUGAAAUUGAGCUAAAACUACACCUAACUUCUAAGUAAUGUAGAAAUAAAUUGUUUUUUGUGUAAUAGUGCUAAAAAAAAAGCCUUUAAGAAAACAGGCAACAUUAAGCACUUCAUUCUACAGUACAACUGUGUAUCUGUGCUGGUUCUCAUCCAUAACUUAGAGUGUAAAAAUAAAACCCAACUCUGAGAGAUGCUUGGAGAUUUUAAAAUACUUAAAUUUUUUGUGAGUUGUUCCUUCAAGCUCUCACUAAUAGCUUCUAAAACAAGAACAAAGUGCUGCAAUGCUUAAAACAUACUGAAGCUUUUUCUAGUUGGCUUAAGUUUCCAUGGAUUUAACUGUAUGAUUAAGUCUUAUUAACCUAGAAAGUAGCACACGAGAAUGUCAGGCUAGAUACAGAUAGCUUAUGUAUUGUAGGGAAACAUUCUAGUUCUGAACUCAUCUUUCCUAACAAAACACUCAAUGCCUGAAUGAUGUUUUAAGAUGGAGUUACAAUACUGGGCAGUCUCUAAUGUGUAUCUAAAAUACUGGUGUUGAAGAUUCCUUCUCUCCUAAUGUAAAUUGAUGAUGAAAAACUCAGGAAGGUUUGAAUUGUUUUCAAUGAAAAUGUUUAAUUACAAAGGAUUUUGAGUUUAGCAAAUAGUUAGCAGUUUGUUUUUUGUGGCUCUUUGCUGUGAACUAACCUUUAAGAUGCAAACUAGGUAGGAGAAAAGAGCAAAGCAGCUCUUGCUGGAAGGAGCAGUGUGUGACUUUUGAACUAAAAUUAUAUUGACUGCAUGCAGUCUUAUCUGUACUAUAGUUGAAAAAAGAUGCUGUAUUAUAGUAUUAUAUUUAGUGUUCACACUUUUUCAAAUUAUUCUGUAGCGGUUGGCCCAGUCCUCCUAGAUGAGGAGUGAGUAUUUUUGUCCUUUGUUUGCUGUAUGGUUAAACAUAAGUGGUUUUAGUUCUGGUGAAUGUCAAUUGAAAAAAAAUGUAGAUCCAUUGUAUACAGUGCCUAAGAUGCCUAAGAGUCUAUGCAUGGGUUUCUUCUAGGAGAAAUACUCUUCUUUCAAGCUGUGCCUAUAUAAUAAUGUCAGCUCUUGCAUUUGCCCUGAGCAUAGCAAGGUUUUUAGGAUGUUAGCAUUUGUGACACUGCAAAGAAUUACUACAGAAGAAUCUCAUUUGUGCCAAUUGAGAUGACUUUUCACAAAGUAACUUCACUGAAAUAUAUUUGACUUUUGGUUUUGGGGUUUUUUUUGGGGGCGGUAUUUGGUUUGGGUUUUUGGGUUUCUUUUUUUUUUUUUUAAUUAAAAGAAGAAGCAGUCAAAAACUAGUCUGAAGUAAAAGCAUCUUGAGCAGUUGGGCACCCAGGCACCAUGCAGGCACAUGUGUGCAGAGAGGGGCCCCUGUAGCAUUUGCAGUGUUGGAUUCAGUACACAGAGGCUUCUCUGGGGAGGUAAACUAGGUCGUACUUACAUAGUAGGCUGUGAGCCAUCUUUGCUUGUCAUUUUGAGCUCCUUUAAGACUGAGAGCGCAGUACUAAAGGUGGCAAAGGUGUAGUGAAAGUCACUUGCAAAUCAGAAAAGUAUAAAAGGGCUGAAAAGGCAGAUCUCUGUAAAACCAGUCAUUGGAGAACUGUGUUCUAAUUCAAGGGAGCAUAAAAUUUGGGGUUACUUCAAGCAUGUGGGUUCCAUUUAAAAUGAGUGGGUCUGUUUUGCUUUUUAAAUUACUGGGGUUUUUUCAUUAGAGACCAUAGUGCUGAGAAUAUCAAGAGGAAGUUUAUCUCCCUGCUUACUUUUACCUUUACCAUUUAAGUGUUUGUGUAUGAACAUUAUUACUAAACUCCAGCCCCUCUUACAUUUUGACUAACUUGUUAUCAGUGCUUUAUUUCUUUAAAAACCGAGUUUGCAUUCCACUUUUUUCAUAAUUUGUUGCCACUCAAAAUGCUGCUUAUACUUAAGCCUGUGCUGAUUUGGGCUCCUGUCUCACUAUGUCUGCCUCUUCCAAAUGGCUCAAUACAGAAGAGUAGGAUUUACAUUUGAGAAGACUCCAUGAUUAACCCUAAAGCCAAAAGGCAUUCUUGUCAGACACAUCUUUGCACAAUUUGAGACUUGAAAGUAUUUUUAAGUACAAAACCUAACAUGCUAGGACAUACUUUGGUUUUUUUCUCUCAGGAACCAGUUCUUGCUCUUUAAAUGUUCAGUAUGUUCGUUUGUGUUUGUUUUCCUGCUUCAGGAGAGCAUGUGUGAGAUGUGAAAAAGAUGAGUUCUGGCAGCUUUGUGAAGUCAGGGUCAUACCAAGGAACCUGAAAGUAAAAGCAGAAAUAAUGGUCUGACGGCUGAUGUUCUCGUGCUUUCCAUGUGACUUUGAGAACUGUAAAGACUUCUGUAAAAACACUGCAGGACCUUGCUUUUAACUGCAACAUGUUUUCAUACUGAUUGACCGACAGCUUUUCUUGCAUGAUUUCUCCUAGGUUGAACUCGUAGUUCUGUACAUAGGUUGGAGCUAUAUAUCCAACCUUGGAAAAUAUUAGACAAGAAAAGCUGUUGGCUGCUGAGGAACCCUACCUGGUAAUAUAGGAAUGCUGUAAUGCCUGCACGAUAAGGAGCUAAUAAAUGGCAGGUUUUUAUGGCUUUAGGGUCCAGUUCUGCAAACACUGCACAACAUUAUGCUGCAAUAUAAAAAUGAUAAUACUUAAAGAAUUUUGUGCUGUAGUUUCCACUAAUGUUUGCAAACUGGGCCUCAUUUUUACAUAAAUUGUUCACAAUUAGCAAGAGUUGACUUUCAUCUUGCAAAACUUUCAGGAUGACACUUUAUAGCUGAUGUCAGCUAUUUUAGUUAGGUAACUGUGAGUGUUGUGGUUUGCUGUAUAUGAGCAAGAGAGACUUAGAGCUAGAGUUGUGAUUUGUAAGAUGUUGCAAUCUGUUCACUGUAUUAAAAAAAAAAAAAAACACCCCAAAACCCCUAUUGCACUAGCUGUACUUUAAAAAAGCAAUAACAUGAGCAUCUUUUAGCUUUUGUCUCCAAAGGUGGUAUCUGUCAUGAUCAUUUGCAUUGUUGGCCAUGAAUUUGGUAAAAAUGUGUUAAAGAAGUUGUCUUAUGUGGUUUAGUUGGCACAUACAAGUAGAAAUUUUUUGUGGUCAACCUGUGUACUAACAAAUGCAAUACUUUGUUGGACUACUUACAUGACCACCCAUAUCUUUAAAAAUCAGAAACUUAUAUCCAUUUCUGGUGCUAAUGAUCUCAAAUAUUAUUAAGAGCUGGUAUUCUCUUCUCACCCAUGAACACUAGGGAAAGCUGUUUUGACAUGUUUUCAAUAAAGCAAAAUUUCUCUACAUUUUGAGCCUCUUCCAAAUGCUUUUAAUAUAAAUGACCCUUUUCUAUUUCUAUUUUAUAUAAAAGCUGCAAACAAGGUAAGUAUUUUAAUGCAGGAAAACAUUAGAAGUAUAUAUGUUGGUCUAAACUACAUGUCCAGGUCUAAGUUUUCAUACAUUCUUAAGAUGCCUAAUCUUCUGAAACUCAGUCUGAAAUACAAGAGUUGUGUUGGCAGGAUUAAGGCACAAGCUAGUAGUUUAAAGAAGAUCAUUCUCUGGCUUCAUCAUUUUUGAAGCCUCAGAGACAGAGAGGAUGUGAAAUGCACAAAGCUGUAGCAGGAGAACACCAAUUAUGCAGGGUAGAUCCACCUUUUGCUGAAACUUCGAAAAAACAAACUUGUGAAGGAACAUGACCAUGUAACCAUAUCUAAAGAACAGAAUUGAAAUUUGACGUAAUUAUCAAGGCUGUUCAUUGUAGGACACUAUAAAAACCCAUGAAAAGACCUCAAACUAGAUUAUUUAGAUUGUGGAACAGCAAUGUAACUUUCUAGCUUUGUUUAAAAGCUUCACAGGCAACGUUCUCUUAAGACAAAAAACUCUUGUGCCUUCUGUUGCAGAAAUUAUUGUUCUCUUCCCUCCCUGCCUUUGGUUAUGAUUUUUUUUGUGUGUGUAUAAUGAAGGACAGUGCACUUCUCAAUCUUUUUCAGGAGGCAUUUUUGGGCAGCAGUACCUACACUUUCUACCCAUGGAGAAUCCCAUGGAGAAUCCCAAGACUCUAGUUCUUUUUAAAGGCCCCUUACAUGUCACUUGCAGUUGUAAAAGUGCCUGCCUGUGACACAUAUGGCAAGCCUACUGUAAUCAGCUCUGAAAUAAAUAUGCUCUUAUUGAUAUGGACACGUGAACAUGCAGAGUGGGUGCCAUGUCCAGGUACACCCUGGUGAAUCAGCAGGGUGCAGCCUGGAACACUGCAGCACAUUCCUCUGCUCUAAAGUAGUUGUGCUCUGAGAUUUUGGUCCCUAAACUGUUCUCUUUCAUAUACUGCAAUAAGUUCUCUUGAAUCACUUGGACCUUGUAUGCCAAGGAGUAUGGGCUUGUAAAAGAUCUAUUUUAUGGAAUAAAUAUGUCAAUGCAAAGAAUAUUCCAUUGCUAAAGUAAUUUAAAGCAGAAACCCACCAUCUGAGAUAAAAUCAGGGCAGUCUGGGGGGUUUUUUGAGUGAAGAGAGAUAAUGUAGUAACAAUAGUCUAGAUUGUGUCUUGCUACUUGUCUUAGUGCCUGCGUUAAUAGUAGGACACUUGGGAGAGCCAAAGAUAGAACAAAGUCAUCCAUAACAGUCCUAAGCCACACUGAAAUAUAACUUUCCUAUCUCUUAAUUACUAGAUGCUUUAGAGAGAAAGGGCUUUUGUUUUUUAACUUACAAAAAAAAAAAAAAGGUGCAAUAUUUACAGAAAUAUAAAGAGAUAAAUGGCUGCAGGUUUGAAUGCCCUGCAAAAGACAAAGCCUUUGCGAACAUGUGACAUGCACUUGACUGUGUUUUUUUAGCCUUAGCAUCUGCUAUGUUACAGAAACAUGUUUCAGUGCACUAGUCUAACUCAGAGAUUUCAAAUAUUUUCAAUAUUCUUUUGACAAGGAGAGUGUUUUUUAAUUAAUAAAGUGCCUGUGGAAAUAAAAAUCCAAAAGUUGCCUGCAAACGUAAAUAAAGCAUAUAAAACCACAGCCCAUACUUGAAGAGAAUGGGUGCUAACUCAGUAAAUGUAGAGAAUAGCUGCUCAAUGGUGGUAAACGUUGAUAGGAUUCAAAGUUUGAGAAAAGAAUAUUAUGUUUCUUUUGAGAGUUUACUGUGUUAAUUAAACUUCUACUGUUUCUGCUUGGGCCUUAACUCUGUAACUUAGUUAUCUUUAAAGAAAAAUAAGUUCCUUUGAAUUAUUCUAUUUCAAAUGCUUGUUUUAAUGACAGUCUUUACUCUGAUGGGGAUUUUUGUUUGUUUGUUACAUGGAGGGGUUUUUUACCUGUUAAAAGUAAAGUCACCAAAUGCUGUGAUUACUCAAUUUGAGGUAAAAGAGUUUGAAGAAUGUUUUUUCUUUAAGUGCAGAAUUCAAGGGAGGAUGGGUUUUAUUACACUGAUACUAGGACUGAGGAAGAAUGAUUUCCAUGGGAAGCAUUAUAGUGCUAAAACUUGUAUAUGUAGUUAUUUGGGGUAAGCAGAAUAUUAGUACUCGCAUAUUGUUUUGCUGUUAGUUUUAUGCUCUAUAAAGAGGCUAUUUAGUACUAAUUUAAAUUGAAAAAAUGGAUUUUAAUGUUGCAAUAGCUAUUAUUUUAACAUGAAACAUCCAUUUAUAUACUGAUAUGCUGGAGUAAAAUAUACAUUUGAUCAGUAACUUCAAUUAAAAAUAUGAAAGUAAUCUUAUUUUUAUCAAAAUUAAUUUGGAAUUUAAUCUCUGGACAAGCUUGAAUUGGUCGUAUGCCACUGAAACCAAUCUUUCAAUUGCAUACAGAAGGAAGGUAGGCUUUUUUUUUUUUUUAGUCUAGUGUAACUUCUUGACUAGACUAAGAGGGAAGUGAGACUAGAUUACUGUUCUAUAAAGAAAAUGGGCAAAACCAGUAAUGUGUUUCAGCUGUGCUGAAUAGCUUAGCUUCUUAUUUUCACAUUGUGGAAUUUAAACUUUUCUUGAGACUCAGAUUUAAGAUGUCUUUAGUUCAGCUAAAUUUUCACCUGUUCUUUUUAUAUUUUUUCUAGUAGUUGCAUUUUAUUGGUGUACAUUGUAAUUAACCACUGAAUUUCUGCCAAAUAUAUA